rnacentral:rRNA from 1 species
UACGUAGGGGGCAAGCGUUGUCCGGAUUCAUUGGGCGUAAAGAGCGUGUAGGCGGCCAGACAGGUCCGUUGUGAAAACUCGAGGCUCAACCUCGAGACGCCGAUGGAAACCGUUUGGCUAGAGUCCGGAAGAGGAGAGUGGAAUUCCUGGUGUAGCGGUGAAAUGCGCAGAUAUCAGGAAGAACACCCGUGGCUAAGGCGGCUCUCUAGUACGGUACUGACGCUGAGACGCGAAAGCGUGGGGAGCGAACAGG